rnacentral:rRNA from 1 species
AGAUGUUGGGUUAAAGUCCCGCAACGAGCGCAACCCCUAUGGUCAGUUGCCAGCGACAUGAAGGUGGGCACUCUGGCGAGACUGCCGUUGACAAAACGGAGGAAGGUGGGGACGACGUCAAAUCAUCAUGCCCCUUAUGUCCUGGGCUACACACGUACUACAAUGGCAACAACAGAGGGCAGCCAUGCCGCGGUGAAUACGUUCCCGGGCCUU